rnacentral:rRNA from 1 species
UACAGAGGUCUCGAGCGUUGUUCGGAUUCAUUGGGCGUAAAGGGCGCGUAGGCGGCGGGGUAAGUCUGGUGUGAAAUCUCGGAGCUCAACUCCGAAAUUGCACCGGAUACUGCGUGACUCGAGGACUGUAGAGGAGAUCGGAAUUCACGGUGUAGCAGUGAAAUGCGCAGAUAUCAGGAGGAACACCGAUGGCGAAGGCAGGUCUCUGGGCCACUACUGACGCUGAGAAGCGAAAGCAUGGGGAGCGAACAGG